UACCUAGACAUUUUCUUAUUUUAAUAGUUUAAACAAACAUUUUUGUUUAAUAUCCACAAAAUAAAGAUAAAACAAUCAUUUUUAAAUUUUAGGAAUUUUGAAGAAUAUACCUCUUAUAGAGAACAAAGUAAUAGGGAAGUCGAUUAUGCUUGUCAGAUCCAAAAUAAAUUUGAGAAUGGAGGAUAACAUAUAUUUUACAAUUGUAACAGGAGAAACAUCAGAGGAUUUAAUAGCUUAUGUAAAAUGAGAAACAUUAAGUCUGGGGGAAGCAUAUGCAUCAAGGGACAUGCUCCUCAAGAAUUUUAGUUAAGGUUUUAAAGAAUGGAUCAGUUGUGAUCAGAAGUGCUAGUUUAUAAUAUUAUAUAACCAUAUUUAUAAUAUGGUUAUAACCAAGCUAGAUGGAUUUAGUUUCUUCUCUACCAUUUUAGUUUUAAGUUGUUGAUAUAAUAUAAUAUAAUACAUUUUAAUAUAGUAUAGAGUCCAUAGUAUAGUUUAUUAUAAAAUAUGUUAUUAUAAAAUUUAAAGUAUAUUUGCUAAAGGUUAAAACAUUUCAGUAAGCUAGUCGACAUUAAG